rnacentral:miRNA from 1 species
ACACACCAAGGAUAAUUUCUCC